UUGAACGCUGGCGGCAGGCCUAACACAUGCAAGUCGAGCGCGAAAGGUUUUCGGACUGAGUAAAGCGGCGGACGGGCGAGUAACGCGUGGGAAUCUGCCCAGUAGUGGGGGACAACAGUCGGAAACGACUGCUAAUACCGCAUACGCCCUACGGGGGAAAGGGGGGGAUCUUAGGACCUCUCGCUAUUGGAUGAGCCCGCGUCGGAUUAGCUAGUUGGUAGGGUAAAGGCCUACCAAGGCUACGAUCCGUAACUGGUCUGAGAGGAUGAUCAGUCACACUGGAACUGAGACACGGUCCAGACUCCUACGGGAGGCAGCAGUGGGGAAUAUUGGACAAUGGGGGCAACCCUGAUCCAGCCAUGCCGCGUGUGUGAAGAAGGCCUUAGGGUUGUAAGGCACUUUCAGUGGGGAGAAAGGUUUGUCACCUAAUACGUGAUGAAAUUGAUGUUACCCACAGAAGAAGCACCGGCUAACUCCGUGCCAGCAGCCGCCGUAA
rnacentral:rRNA from 1 species